UACGGAUGGUGCGAGCGUUGUCCGGAAUCACUGGGCGUAAAGGGCGCGUAGGCGGCGCGGUAAGUCGGGUGUGAAAUCUCGGGGCUUAACUCCGAAACUGCAUUCGAUACUGCCGUGCUUGAGGACUGGAGAGGAGACUGGAAUUCAUGGUGUAGCAGUGAAAUGCGUAGAGAUCAUGAGGAAGACCAGUGGCGAAGGCGGGUCUCUGGACAGUUCCUGACACUGGGGCACGAAGGCCAGGGGAGCAAACGGG
rnacentral:rRNA from 1 species